rnacentral:rRNA from 1 species
CCCUUAGAUGUUCGGGGCCGCACGCGCGCUACACUGUUCGACGCAGCGAGUCUUAACCUUGACCGAAAGGUUUGGGUAAUCUUCAGCAAAGUCGAACGUGAUGGGGAUCGAUCAUUGCAAUUAUUGAUCGUGAACGAGGAAUUCCUAGUAAGUGCAAGUCAUCAGCUUGCGCUGAUUACGUCCCUGCCCUUUGUACACACCGCCCGUCGCUACUACCGAUUGAAUGGUUUAGUGAGAUCUCUGGAUUGACGCUGGCUAGGGGGCGACCCUUGGCCAGACUGUUGAGAAACUGCUCAAACUUGAUCAUUUAGAGGAAGUAAAAGUCGUAACA